GAGUGGCGAACUGGUGAGUAACACGUGGGAAACCUGCCCAGAAGCGGGGGAUAACACCUGGAAACAGAUGCUAAUACCGCAUAACAACUUGGACCGCAUGGUCCGAGCUUGAAAGAUGGCUUCGGCUAUCACUUUUGGAUGGUCCCGCGGCGUAUUAGCUAGAUGGUGGGGUAACGGCUCACCAUGGCAAUGAUACGUAGCCGACCUGAGAGGGUAAUCGGCCACAUUGGGACUGAGACACGGCCCAAACUCCUACGGGAGGCAGCAGUAGGGAAUCUUCCACAAUGGACGAAAGUCUGAUGGAGCAACGCCGCGUGAGUGAAGAAGGKUUUCGGCUCGUAAAACUCUGUUGUUAAAGAAGAACAUAUCUGAGAGUAACUGUUCAGGUAUUGACGGUAUUUAACCAGAAAGCCACGGCUAACUACGUGCCAGCAGCCGCGGUAAUACGUAGGUGGCAAGCGUUGUCCGGAUUUAUUGGGCGUAAAGCGAGCGCAGGCGGUUUUUUAAGUCUGAUGUGAAAGCCUUCGGCUCAACCGAAGAAGUGCAUCGGAAACUGGGAAACUUGAGUGCAGAAGAGGACAGUGGAACUCCAUGUGUAGCGGUGAAAUGCGUAGAUAUAUGGAAGAACACCAGUGGCGAAGGCGGCUGUCUGG
rnacentral:rRNA from 1 species